rnacentral:rRNA from 1 species
AUGGAAGAGUGCAGUGAGGACAGAUGUUGGGAGGACCUAGCACGAGAUGCCCUAGGCCUCAUCUUCUGCAAACUGUCCCUUCAGGAGAUCCUCACUGUGGUUCCGGGGGUUUGCAAACCCUGGAGCCGGGUAGUUUCAGGGGCCGACUGCUGGCAGGACAUCGACAUUCAGGAGUGGAGCCAGCAGAGCGAGCCUGACAAGAUCACCAGGAUGGUUCAUAUGCUCCUCUCUCACAGCGCUGGCUCGUGCCACCGCCUUAGUGUGUCCAGGCUUCCAAACGACUCAUUGUUCGCCUUCAUCGCGGACCAUGCACAAUCUCUCAAGACUGUGGAGAUUCCAAGGAGCGAGAUCAGUGAAUACAUAGUUGAAGAUGUUGCACAAAGGCUGACUAAAGUUACAUUCCUUGAUGUAAGCAGCUGCACCAAGAUUGGCGCUCGUGCUCUGGGGGCAUUUGGUAAGAAUUGCCAAUCCCUUGUCAGACUUCGGCGAGUCAUGCACCCCAUGGAUGUCGGAGGGAAGGUGUGCCACAAUGACGAGGCCCGUGCUAUUGCCUACAACAUGCCAAAGCUUCGCCACCUCGAGAUAGGGUACAUGAUCAUCGCGACUACGGCUGUCGUCGAGAUCACCUCCCGGUGCGAAGACCUCAAAUUCGUAGAUCUCCGUGGCUACUGGGACGUUGAUGAUAAGGUUUUGCAAGAGAAGUAUCCUGGGCUGAAAAUAGUCGCCCCCCACGUUGACGACUGCUAUGAGAACGGCCUCUGGGAUGAGUGCUCGGAUGAUGACUCCAUCGACUCAUGGGAAGAGUUCGUGGACAAUGACUACUUUGCCAUCAGGAGUGACGACGAGGCCAUAUGGGACGACAUUCACGCUCUCGAAGUACUAGAAGUUAGCUUCUAUGGCGGUGUAUUUCGCGAAGGCUUCGCUGGUUAUGGCUCGCCAGAAUCUCCAUGA